AUGAUUCCUGCCAAGCAGGUAUCUGUGCAACUUAUAAAAGCCCGGUGCUCUCAGCGGGGGUCAUGGGCGGAGAAGCUCUUAAAAAAGAGGGAACAUGUCCUGCGAGGCGGCGGGAGGACCAGGGGCCCGUUCGGUCCUUGCCCUGCUGGCCAGCUGUCCUCCCUUUGCCCCCUUCUCCCCACAGACGGCAGCGCUGGUGCUCCUGAGGCCUCCGCGGAUGGAGGGUGGCCUGGCGGGCGCGAGUGCAGACCGGGCCGGUGUGAUGCGUGGACGCCCCAUGGGAGCUGGGGCCUGACACUGACCUCGGUGAGCAGAGCCGCCCACCGCUGCCGUGUCACUGUGCAGGCUGAGUCUUCGGGGUGUGUGUGUGUGUGUGUGUGUGUGUGUGUGUGUGUGCGCGCGCGAUGCUGACAUUACCAUAAUUAUAGGAAGACCAAGGACAGAUGGUUCCAGACGUUGCAGCAGAAGGAACCUUUUCCCAGGUAAACUCAUAAGGAGAAUCCUAACGCAGGCAUGAGAGGAAGGGUCUGCCAGGGCCCCCUCCCCGACCUGUGGCGGCUGCUGAGGUACCCUGGGGUCUUAGGGAAGAGGUGGCUUUGACCCUGGAGGACAGGGGCCCCGGGAGACCAGGGAGCCUCUUGGCCUGCAGCCACAUCCUUGCGGCUCUGGGCCUCCCAUGGACUCCUGCCGCCUGCUGGCCAGGCUUAGAGAGGACUCUUCCUGGCUGGCCAUAGUUUCCGGGUAAUUAAGAGCUUACCUUUGUUGUUGUUGUUGUUUUUAACUAGAGAGAGAGAGCAGGCAGAGGGGGGAGGAGAGAGAGAGAGAAUGAAUCUCCAUAAGUGUGGGGCCCAAUGCAGGUCUUUUUCUUUUUAAUUUUUUUGGUUUAUUUGUUUUUGAGACAGAGACAGAGCCUGAGCAGGGGAGGGGCAGAGAGAGAGAGAGGGAGACACGGAAUCCGAAGCAGGCUCCAGGCUCCGAGCUGCCAGCACAGAACCCGAUGCGGGGCUCGAACCCAUGGACCACGAGAUCAUGAC
rnacentral:lncRNA from 1 species